UACGUAGGUGGCAAGCGUUGUCCGGAAUUAUUGGGCGUAAAGCGCGCGCAGGCGGUCCUUUAAGUCUGAUGUGAAAGCCCACGGCUCAACCGUGGAGGGUCAUUGGAAACUGGGGGACUUGAGUGCAGAAGAGGAAAGCGGAAUUCCACGUGUAGCGGUGGAAAUGACGUAGAGAUGUGGAGGAACACCAGUGGCGAAAGGCGGCUUUCUGGUCUGUAACUGACGCUGAGGCGCGAAAGCGUGGGGAGCAAACAGG
rnacentral:rRNA from 1 species